AUUGAACGCUGGCGGAAUGCUUUACACAUGCAAGUCGAACGGCAGCACGGACUUCGGUCUGGUGGCGAGUGGCGAACGGGUGAGUAAUGUAUCGGAACGUGCCCAGUCGUGGGGGAUAACGUAGUGAAAAUUACGCUAAUACCGCAUACGAUCCAUGGCUGAAGGCGGGGGAUCGCAAGACCUCGCGCGAUUGGAGCGGCCGAUAUCAGAUUAGGUAGUUGGUGAGGUAAAGGCCCACCAAGCCAACGAUCUGUAGCUGGUCUGAGAGGACGACCAGCCACACUGGAACUGAGACACGGUCCAGACUCCUACGGGAGGCAGCAGUGGGGAAUUUUGGACAAUGGGCGAAAGCCUGAUCCAGCCAUUCCGCGUGCAGGAUGAAGGCCCUCGGGUUGUAAACUGCUUUUGUACAGAACGAAAAGGUUUCUACUAAUACUAGGAGCUCAUGACGGUACUGUAAGAAUAAGCACCGGCUAACUACGUGCCAGCCGCCGCAGUAC
rnacentral:rRNA from 1 species